rnacentral:tRNA from 1 species
GCCGGAGUGGCGGAACUGGCAGACGCAGCGGAUUCAAAAUCCGCCGGGCCCCGCGCCCUUGAGGGUUCGAGUCCCUCCUCCGGCACCA